rnacentral:misc_RNA from 1 species
CCCUCUCUGUCUCUUCUCAUUUUCUUUUCUUUCACGAACCUCUCUUAGUCUAUUCUCAUUCUCUUGCCGUUCAACAGCCUCUCUUUGUCUUCUCAGUCUCUCUUCCUUCUCACCAGUCUCCUUCAGUAUCCUCUCAUUCUCUUUCUUCUCAAGAGCCUCUUUCAGUCUCCUCUUUUUUUCUUCCCGCCUAAGUGUCUCCCUUAGUCUCUUCUCAUGUUCUUCUCUUUCAUAAGCUUCUCUCCGUAUCUUCUCAUUUUCUUCCCACUCAUGAACCGCCUUUAUCAUCUUCUCUUUUUCUUCCUGCUCAAGUGCCUUCUUCAGCCUUCUAUCAUUAUCUGCUAGUUCAAGAGGCACAUUAAGUUUUUUCUCAUUUUCUUCAAGCUCAAAAGCCUUUAUUUCUCUCCUUUCACAUUCAUCCUUUUCACCAGUGAAUUUUUUCACAUCCUCCACACUUUUAUUAUCCUCUUUUAGCUGUGAUCCUUUCUCCUUGUGCUUCAUAGACAGCCUAGCUGCAAUUUUAUUUUCUCUCUGUUGAACCUCUAAAGAGUUCUCAUGUUUCUGUAGGUCAUCAGCUAUAGUUUGUUGCUUUUCAGUUUCUACAGGUUUCCAGUCCAUGUUAUAUUUCUUCUCAUUCCCUUCCCAUCUAAAUGCCUCUUGAGCCACUUGUACCUUCUUAUCAAGUCCUUUCUGUACCACUUCUGAUCUCCCACUGCUUUUGUCCUGUUCAAAAGCUUCCAUUGACUCUUCAGAUUUCUUCUCAUAUUCCACCAGUCCAUAAUCUGUUCUAACUGCUUUUACUUUCUUGUCAUUUCUUUGGGGCCGCUGCAAUGCUUCCAUAGUCACCCUUUUUUCCUUCUUCCCAUACUCAUGAAAAUUUGAAUUAUGCACCAAAAUAUUUUCAUUGUUUUCCUGGUCAAAGGCCUUUCUAGAGUUAUUGGUUACCAAUUCAAAAAACUGAGUAGCUUCUGUCCAUUCACCAUCACCAUCAGAACCUCGAGAUGAUGAGGAUUCCCUUCCAUGAUUAUACUCCGCAGAUUUAUUGGCCACAUUAUGUUUUUUACCUUCUAAUGAAUCUGAAAUUGGCUGUGUUGUCCUUUUAACUUUUUGCAUCUCCUUCGAGAUAGAAAAUUCCAUUCCAUUUUCUUCUAUUUGACUAAUGCCCUGCCCUCUCUCCUCCUUUCUGCCACCAGAGCCAUUACCAAUCUUAGUCAACUUUUCACCCUUGUCUUUUCUGUCAGUCUUUGAACAUGAUUUCACACGGUUUUGAAAACCAUCCCUCUUCCUCUCCAUUGAUUCUUUUGCACUUUUGAGCUUUGCUUGAGCUUUCUCCAUUGCUUCUUUCAUAGCAGCAGCAGAGGCUGCAGCAGAUGAACUUGCAUCUACCUCCACAUCAAAGUAAGGAGGUGAACUAUCACCAGUGGUCUCUUCAGAGGCAACACUUUUACAGUUAGUUGUUGUUUUACCAGAAUCUCCAUUGAAGAUAUCUAGUGCAGGUGGUGGUCUAGAAGGUGGCGGCAAAUGAGAAGGCUGAGUUCUAAGGCUAACAUCAGAAAUGGUUACAAACAUCUCAUUUGGAAGAGAGCCAUUCCUGACAAAUUCCUUGUGAGGUCUAACAUCAUCUCCAAAAAACAGUACAUCAGUAUUAGUACCAGUAGCCGGGUGAGACAUGACUUUUCUGAGAUGCCUUCCACUCAACAUUUCCCCACUAUAGUGAAUAUUGAGAUGAUCAUCAUUGCUUGCCUGCAGAUGUUGGUACUCGUAGUCUGUCUUUGGCAAGGAAGAGGUUUUAUCAACCACAAAAGUAUAUCCAGAAACAGGAUGCGGCUGAGUUAUAUGUGUAAUCCCAUUUGACAAAUCUCCAUUGCUUCUUUUACUAACUUUAUUAUAAGAUAAGUUGAACUCCAUGUCGCCAUCAAUUGAGUCACAUGAGUCUCCAUUCAAUAAGCAUUGGUCCUUUGCAGAAUGAUUAGACUCAUCUGAUAGAAUUUCAGCUUCUGCUGGAGCCCAAGCCUCGUCAGAGGAGGAAUCAUCACCAAGACCGUUGGAUUGCUCCAUCAUCAACAACUCAUUGUACGACACUGCAAAAUCAUAGCCAUUGAAUCCUCCAAAAACCUCACCGUAGUCAAAACCGGAGCUAAGUACAUCGAAGAAAACAUCGGCCGCCUCAUCGACCAAUGGGAGAUCGAGAACGGGAAUCGAGGAGGCGCGUGAAGAGUGGAAACCGCCGAAUAUCUCGCGGUAAUCCUCAACCCGGGGCGACAGUGUCGGGGUUCCAAACCUGGGCGGCCCGCCGAACACAUCUUCGUAAAUGGACUUGGUGGUGUUGCCAUUGCAGCUCUUUUUGGAAAGCAUGUUUAGUUGCCGAGAAUGCGAAAGAUUUUCCAUGAAACUGAAGGAAACAGGCAGAGCACUCUAGCAUUUACGCGUUUUCUAGUGCACUGAGUGAGUUUACCCCCGCUUUGUUGCUUGGCUCUAUUUUGUUUGCUUUUGUUCUCUCUCUUCUCCUCCUCCGCAGAGGCUCUGCAGAGUCUGAAACAGUUCAACAAAAAGAAAAAAAAAAGAAAAGACAAACAACACAAGCCAAAAGAACAAAAAAAAAUGGAAUCAAGAAAUGACAGAAAAGGACUUGAAUUAUUGUGCAGGGAAUUAUUUUUUAUUUCCAAUAUUUCAAAAUAAAGCACCCCAACCUCCUAUUUGAAAAAAAAAUUUGUAACUUUUUUUAGUGAGAGAAGGAGAGUUUCGGCAAAGGUGUUUGAUUUCGGCGAUGGGCAACGGCGGUGGAUGUGACGUUGAGAGAGGCGAAAGUGGCGGAGAAA